rnacentral:rRNA from 1 species
UACGUAGGGGGCUAGCGUUGUCCGGAAUCAUUGGGCGUAAAGAGCGUGUAGGCGGCUCGGUAAGUCCGCUGUAAAAGUCAAAGGCUCAACCUUUGAAUGUCAGUGGAUACUGCCGGGCUAGAGUCCGGAAGAGGCGAGUGGAACUCCUGGUGUAGCGGUGGAAUGCGCAGAUAUCAGGAAGAACACCAACGGCGAAGGCGGCUCGCUGGGACGGUACUGACGCUGAGACGCGAAAGCGUGGGGAGCGAACAGG